rnacentral:pre_miRNA from 1 species
GGGGGGAGGCCAGACCCUGGGCUGUGUCCCCGCGCCCAGUGCUCCCGGGCCUGCGCUGUUGGAUUUGUGCUCCUAGCUGCACAGCCGCCU